UGAGCAGCCAGCCUAGACCUGGACUGUAAAAAUAGAUCUAUGCUUUGCAGACCUUGAGAAAACUUGUAACUUCCCGAUAUGACAGACACUGUCCCAAGAUGUUGUUUCAGCCGACUUGUUGGAACUUGAACCCACUGAAGCUGGACUUCCGCAGAGAGACCUGGAAGGAACUGUUGGCCCUAGGGAGGAGCUGGCAGAGCUGGGGUUAUUCCCUCUUGAAGAUCUGUUGAGAGGAUCUGUCUCCAUCUUGUGGCCACUUAAGAUAACCUCCUGCCUCCAGGUUCGUGCCCUGUUUGAGUUCCUGCCCUGGCUUCCUUCAUUGAUGGACUAUGACAUGGAAGUGUAAGCCAAAUAAACCCUUUACUCCUCAA